GUUCUCACAUUCCUCCUACUGAAGCUGGGCCACUGGGCAACCAUAAGUGCGGAGUCAUGGGUCAUGAGUCACAGAAAAAGAGCAAUCAGGAGGGAGUGACUAUUGCUCUCCUUCUCCAAUCUAGUCCUUACACACCUACUUCAAUCACUGGAACCACCUAGAUUGGAAGAGCUGAACUGGUAAUACUGUUAGCAGUCUGCCUGUCUAUCUGUCUGGCUAUCUAUCUGUCUAUCAACAUCUGGCUUUGCAGAGAAGCAAAGAGGGCUUUGGAGAAGAAAUCUGAGGGUCCUGCAAGUUGUCAAGAAACAAGAGAAACUGCAAGGCUUGUUUGUUCAGCCUAAACCUGCUUUCAAGACAUCUCUUGCCAUCUUGAUCCUUUCUAUCUACAGCGCCAGAAAGGGGGGAAAUGUCCUAAAAUGCUUUGUUAGGCCUAAAAGCAAAAUUGACUCAUAUUACAACAUUCAAUAAAGUUCACGUGUGACA
rnacentral:lncRNA from 1 species